CGGAAGGCCCUUCGGGGUACUCGAGCGGCGAACGGGUGAGUAACACGUGAGUAACCUGCCCUAGGCUUUGGGAUAACCCUCGGAAACGGGGGCUAAUACCGAAUAUGACCUGACCUCGCAUGGGGUUGGGUGGAAAGUUUUUCGGCCUGGGAUGGGCUCGCGGCCUAUCAGCUUGUUGGUGGGGUGAUGGCCUACCAAGGCGACGACGGGUAGCCGGCCUGAGAGGGCGACCGGCCACACUGGGACUGAGACACGGCCCAGACUCCUACGGGAGGCAGCAGUGGGGAAUAUUGCACAAUGGGCGGAAGCCUGAUGCAGCGACGCCGCGUGAGGGAUGACGGCCUUCGGGUUGUAAACCUCUUUCAGCAGGGACGAAGCGUAAGUGACGGUACCUGCAGAAGAAGCACCGGCCAACUACGUGCCAGCAGCCGCGGUAAGACGUAGGGUGCGAGCGUUGUCCGGAUUUAUUGGGCGUAAAGAGCUCGUAGGCGGCUUGUCGCGUCGACCGUGAAAACUUGGGGCUCAACCCCAAGCCUGCGGUCGAUACGGGCAGGCUAGAGUUCGGUAGGGGAGACUGGAAUUCCUGGUGUAGCGGUGAAAUGCGCAGAUAUCAGGAGGAACACCGGUGGCGAAGGCGGGUCUCUGGGCCGAUACUGACGCUGAGGAGCGA
rnacentral:rRNA from 1 species